rnacentral:rRNA from 1 species
AGAGUUUGAUCAUGGCUCAGAACGAACGUUGGCGGCGUGGAUUAGGCAUGCAAGUCGAACGAAUCCCGGUAGCAAUAUCGGGGGAAGUGGCGAAAGGGGCAGUAAGGCGUGGGUAACCUACCCUCGGGUCGGGGAUAGCCUUCCUAACGGAAGGGUAAUACCCGGCGACGUGGCGACGGGGCAUCUCGUUGUCACCAAAGAAUUUCGCCCGGGGAGGGGCUCACGUGCUAUUAGCUAGUUGGUGGGGUGACGGCCCACCAAGGCGAAGAUGGCUAGCAGGUGUGAGAGCACGACCUGCGCCACUGGCACUGCGACACUGGCCAGACUCCUACGGGAGGCUGCAGUCGAGGAUCUUCGGCAAUGGGCGCAAGCCUGACCGAGCGACGCCGCGUGCGCGAUGAAGGCCUUCGGGUUGUAAAGCGCUGUCGAGGGGGAGGAAGCCGCAAGGUUGACCUAUCCCUGGAGGAAGCACGGGCUAAGUUCGUGCCAGCCGCCGCGGUAAUUC